AAAACUCAACAUUGUCCAAUGAACCCAUGACAUUUAGCUCAAUGUCUGAUGAACCCUGCCAGUCAGACAUACAUGACAUAGACUCAAUUGUUCCAUUCUGUCUAUACAUGUACAUUAAAUAUACAUGAAGUUGAUCUACUGGAGUACUGUAUUAAGGCCAAAAUAAUUUUAUUGCAUGUUUCUGGUUUCCCCGACCAUACCUCCGUUUCUAGCCCACCCUAAACAAUGUAUUCAUCAUACAUGUACAUGUCAUAUUCAUCAUUUGAUGUCUUUCCACAUCAGAUAACUUGUGUGAAUGAUAAUUACAAAUAUCACUC
rnacentral:lncRNA from 1 species